rnacentral:rRNA from 1 species
AAAGGAGGGGCAAUACCGAAUAUUGUCCGGGACCGUGAAGGGUUUCGGGGAAAGGGAGGCCUCUGACACAAGCUUUCGCCUUAAGAUGAGCCCAUGGCCCAUCAGCUAGUUGGUAGGGUAAAGGCCUACCAAGGCUACGACGGGUCGCUGGUCUGAGAGGACGACCAGCCACACUGGCACUGAGAUACGGGCCAGACUCCUACGGGAGGCAGCAGUGAGGAAUAUUGCGCAAUGGGGGAAACCCUGACGCAGCAACGCCGCGUGUGGGAAGAAGGCCUUCGGGUCGUAAACCACUUUUACUCGGGACGAAAAAGGGAUAUCAAAUAAAUAUCCCCGAUGACGGUACCGUGAGAAUAAGCCACGGCUAACUCUGUGCCAGCAGCCGCGGUAAGACAGAGGUGGCAAGCGUUGUUCGGAAUUACUGGGCGUAAAGAGUCUGUAGGUGGUUUGUCAAGUCUUUGGUGAAAGGCCGUAGCUUAACUAUGGGAAUGCCAAAGAGACUGGCAGGCUGGAGGCUGGGAGAGGGAAGCGGAAUUUCUGGUGUAGCGGUGAAAUGCGUAGAUAUCAGAAGGAAGGCCGGUGGCGAAGGCGGCUUCCUGGAACAGUCCUGACACUGAGAGACGAAAGCGUGGGGAGCAAACAGGAUUAGAUACCCUGGUAGUCCACGCCCUAAACGAUGGGUACUAAGUGUGGAGGGGUUAACCCUCCGUGCCGCAGCAACGCAGUAAGUACCCCGCCUGGGGAGUACGGCCGCAGGUUGAACUCAAAGGAAUUGACGG